CCGGAAUAGCUCAGUCGGUAGAGCAGAGGACUGAAAAUCCUCGUGUCACC
rnacentral:tRNA from 1 species